rnacentral:rRNA from 1 species
GACGAACGCUGGCGGUGUGCUUAACACAUGCAAGUCGAACGGAAAGGCCUAGCUUGCUGGGUACUCGAGUGGCGAACGGGUGAGUAACACGUGGGUGAUCUGCCCCUGACUUUGGGAUAAGCCUGGGAAACUGGGUCUAAUACCGGAUAUUCAUUUUUCCUCGCAUGGGGAUUUGUGGAAAGCUUUUGCGGUUGGGGAUGGGCCCGCGGCCUAUCAGCUUGUUGGUGGGGUAAUGGCCUACCAAGGCGACGACGGGUAGCCGACCUGAGAGGGUGAUCGGCCACACUGGGACUGAGACACGGCCCAGACUCCUACGGGAGGCAGCAGUGGGGAAUAUUGCACAAUGGGCGCAAGCCUGAUGCAGCGACGCCGCGUGAGGGAUGACGGCCUUCGGGUUGUAAACCUCUUUCAGCUCCGACGAAGCGCAAGUGACGGUAGGAGCAGAAGAAGCACCGGCCAACUACGUG